AUUUUCUCUUUCAUUUUUCUCUCUCUCUCUCAUCUCUCCCUCUCUUUCUCAUCCCCCCCUUCUGUAUUGGCAUAAAUGGAUGGUUGCCUGUGUUGCCAUAGCAAACAUGUUUUGGCAGCAAUAAUGAUCCAGUAAACAAAAAGAAAGAAAAACGGCUAGCAUGAGAAUCGCAAACGGCAGAGAAAACAAAUGAUCAGCACAUCAGACAUGUAUACAUUGUCUCUCUAUUCCAGUGACUGGCCAGGAUGUGUUCAGCCAGAAGGUCUACUGCCUCGGUGGUUUCUCCUGACAAAGUCCACAAUUUCUCUUCAACAGGGUUCAAGAAAUGAAUGCUGAUGAUAAUAUUCUGGACGCAGUGUGUUCGUCCUUCUGUCUCACCCCAUUCUCUCUCUCUCUCCCUUUCUUUAUCUCAAUCCUUCUCUCACCCCAUUCUCUCUCUCAAUCCUUCUGUCUCACCCCAUUCUCUCUCUCUCUCUGAGCCCCAUCCUUUCUUUCUUCUUAGGCAGUGACAGAAUGGAUAAGACACAGUGCAACAGGACAGCUGCUGGAUUGGGCGUUCUCUGGAGAAAAAACCCUGGCUGACACCUUGACAAUAAGAAAGUGUAAUUUAUAAUGUCACUGUAAUUUGGUUUGUUCUAUCUAUUUGCUUAUAUAAAUCAUUGGACAUACAGGUGAAAUGUUUGUAAUAGCGUUACAUUAAGGUUUAUGAUGUCCCACAAUUACAUCAUUUGUCGAAUCACUGCAUUCACUGAACCCUGAAAUAACAGAAUUCUGACCCAUUUGGUGAAUUUAUGUUUUGAGAAGACAGGUUAGGUGGCAGUCCAUCCGUGCAAACCUUCCACAGUCCACAGAGUUGGGCAAAUAAGAAAAAUAAAAUGGAUUUCCUGAUUUAUUGGUAGAUGAUUUCAUGUCAUCGCGUUGGAUACAACUCGAAUGGGGCCCAAAUUCCUGCAAACAUAGUGCACCGCUUCACCAUAGAUCCAGGUCAAAAGUAGUGCACUCUAUAGGGAAUUUGAGGGUGCCAUUUGGGACUACACCAGAAUGACUACACCCCCCCCCCCCCCCGCCUCUGGUUCUGUAACGGUGGGCUUGAGGAUAUCUGAGGCAUGGAAGGAGAAGGGACUCGGAGAUUCCAGCCUCACAUUUCUCCCUCCCUCAACCAUGUCUGCAGCCCCUCUGAUAAAUUGAGCAGGGCGUGUGAUGUGAGUGAAUUCAUCCUCAUGUGCUCAGCACUAUUUCCAGGGCAAUGUGUAACUUCUGAGGCCUGAUGGAGCUGGGUGUUGUUCAGUCUUAUCAAGAUGACUGAGGCUCGCUUGAAAUUCCAACUAGGUCGCGAUGCUUUGGGUGGUUGUCAUACGUGCGGAGGGCUUAAAUGUUUCAUCACAAUGCCAACAACAUUGUACACCGCUCAAAGGACAGGCUUUCCUGUCUGUGGCAAAGCUGCGCUCUAUCCAUCAGCUCCCACCACUAAACCCCCAUUACUGUUAAAUUGUUGGGAUGGAACCAAUACUGUCUGCAUUAUUUCUUAUAUGGGACUUAAAAAAAGUACAGGUUGCAGUAAAGAUUGUGUUCACGUAUGAUUUUUGAGAAAUCCAAUUCCUUGUUUAAAAAAUGGGAGAAAAGCUACAGUUCACACUACCAGAAUUACCAUAUACACAUAAAGCCCUACAAUAGGGCUAAAGAUCAAAAGCGCUAAUAAUUUCAUGGAGGUGACUGUAAAUAUGUGAAGUCACGUAGGACAGCGAACUAG
ensembl:lncRNA